rnacentral:rRNA from 1 species
UCUUUACGACUCGCGUAAUGCAUCCAGAUUGGUUUUUGUCAUGGCUCAGAUUGAGACGCUCGGCUGUGUACCNAGCCUAACACAUGCAAGUCGAGCGGAUGACGGGAGCUUGCUCCUUGAUUCAGCGGCGGACGGGUGAGUAAUGCCUAGGAAUCUGCCUGGUAGUGGGGGACAACGUUUCGAAAGUGAACGCUAAUACUGCAUACGUCCUACGGGAGAAAGCAGNGGGACCUUCGGGCCUUGCGCUAUCAGAUGAGCCUAGGUCGGAUUAGCUGGUUGGUGGGGUAAUGGCUCACCAAGGCGACGAUCCGUAACUGGUCUGAGAGGAUGAUCAGUCACACUGGAACUGAGACACGGUCAGACUCCUACGGGAGGCAGCAGUGGGGAAUAUUUGGACAAUGGGCGCAAGCCUAGAUCCAGCCAUACCGCGUAGGUGUGAAGAAGGCCUUCGGGUUGUAAAGCCCUUUUGUUGGGAAAUGAAAUCCAGCCGGCUAAUACCUGGUUGGGAUGACGGUACCCAAAGAAUAAGCACGUUUUUGCUU